rnacentral:rRNA from 1 species
UCAGCCUACGGGACGCAGCAGUGAGGAAUAUUGGUCAAUGGGAGAGAUCCUGAACCAGCCAAGCCGCGUGAGGGAAGACGGCCCUAUGGGUUGUAAACCUCUUUUGUCGGAGAACAAAACCCGGGACGUGUCCCGGACUGCGUGUAUCCGAAGAAAAAGCAUCGGCUAACUCCGUGCCAGCAGCCGCGGUAAUACGGAGGAUGCGAGCGUUAUCCGGAUUUAUUGGGUUUAAAGGGUGCGUAGGCGGUCCGUUAAGUCAGCGGUAAAAUUGCGGGGCUCAACCCCGCCCAGCCGUCGGAACUGCC